AAGCUAAGCUGAGAAUCUUGGGUUCACAUCCUAAGCACUGUCUACUGCAAAACAGAGGAAACCAUUCUUGAAAAGUAUGAAGCUGAACGACAGUUAAAUUUCAUAGACAUCCCACAGUGUGUUGCAAUUUUAUGAAGAAUGGAGAUCUAGCACUGAGAACAGCAUAAAGUCAUCAAACAUAUGUAUAAAACAACAGCAAGGGAGAUCCCAAAAUCAUCACAGAACAAAAAAGGAGUUCUAUGUGAUGUCCAAAUGGCCUCAAUCAGAGGAAGGGCUGAUUGACACAGGUAUUUUGUGGAUCAGGAGAAAGAGAAUGCUUUCACAGCCUGUAGAGUGUUAUGAACUGUUGCAUGCCCACUCUGAACAGAAAAUGUAAAGCAAGAUGCAGGAAAUAACAUUUAACUUGUAAAAUAUUUUGACCACAGUUCCACCAGAAUUUGUCAUCUCUAAGUCUCUGAAUGUGUGGUGAAUAAAUCACCUCAACAGAUUGGAAAGUGUUUUAAA
rnacentral:lncRNA from 14 species